rnacentral:rRNA from 1 species
UACAGAGGGUGCGAGCGUUAAUCGGAAUUACUGGGCGUAAAGCGUGCGUAGACGGUAGCGUAAGUCAGAUGUGAAAGCCCCGGGCUCAACCUGGGAACUGCAUUUGAGACUGCUCUGCUCGGGUGCGGAAGAGGGAAGCGGAAUUUCCGGUGGAGCGGUGAAAUGCGUAGAUAUCGGAAGGAACGCCGGUGGCGAAAGCGACGUGCUGGACCUCUUCUGACGCUGAGGCGCGAAAGCCAGGGGAGCAAACGGG